GGGGAGAGGAAGUGUGGCUGAAGGGCUGGUUAAUGAAGACACCCUCAAACCAUUGAGAAAAUAUGAAUGAAGUUUUCUACCUGAUCCUACUUCUAUGGAGGUCAAUGAAGGGCAAAACUCUCAGAUGCACCGGUGGGAGCAAGGUUGAGCCAUUUGAUAAGAUUGCAAGUUUGACUGAUAAAAGGGAUGAAAAAAAAAUGACCUGGCUGCGGGGCCAAGUUGCAGGAAGAGAACGACAAUCGACGUGGGUUCUAGCAGAAGAGCCUACGGUGCCACACCCUGCCACGAAAGGGCACACCAGCAACGAGUCUACUUUUCCAUAGUUAAAUAAAUAAAUAAAUAAAAAAGCUUGUCACCUUAGAUCUAGCUUGGAACUUUAAUUACACAGUACAUCUUCAGUGACAGCUUGUAACAUGGAGGAUCAGAUAAUAUGCAAAAUGCCAUAGAAACAGUUAUUAAAACAAACCAGAGUCAGUAAGCUAGCAUCAUAGGCCGAGAAAUGAAUGUAUCCAUAACAAAUGAUCUUCUCUGCAAAUAUAUAUUUUAUGACCCCCAUAGACAUGGAGGAGAAUAGAAGGAAAUGUUCACUAAAUCCUAGAAAGGAAAUGAAGAUACUGAGUUAAACAUUCCAUUGCCACCAACACGCUUAAACCUAAUGAAUUACAUAGGAAACUUGUUUUCACGUAUUUCAUCACCUUUAGCAGUAUUUGGAGCUCUCUUUGAGUUGCACAUGUAUUUCUAGGUAUAUCGUGCUAAAACCUGGCGUCAUUGACGUCAGUGGGAAUGUUGCCUUUGUUUCCAGUGAAACCUGAAUUUGACUC